rnacentral:rRNA from 1 species
AUUGAACGCUGGCGGCAGGCCUAACACAUGCAAGUCGAGCGAGAGGCGGACGGGUGAGUAAUGUAUGGGGAUCUGCCUGAUAGAGGGGGAUAACUACUGGAAACGGUGGCUAAUACCGCAAACUACAGGAUGAACCCAUAGUGGAUUAGCUAGUAGGUGGGGUAAAGGCUCACCUAGGCGACGCUCUCUAGCUGGUCUGAGAGGCUGAUCGGCCACACUGGGACUGAGACACGGUCCAGACUCCUACGGGAGGCAGCAGUGGGGAAUAUUGCGCAAUGGGCGAAAGCCUGAUGCAGCCAUGCCGCGUGUGUGAAGAAGGCCUUCGGAUUGUAAAGUUCUUUCGGUAGCGAAGCGUUACCUACAGAGAAAGCACCGGCUAACUCCGUGCCAGCAGCCGCGGUAAUAC